rnacentral:siRNA from 1 species
UCCAUAUAGCGACCCCAGGUC